GAGAACAUCACUGUAAGACAGUUUAGAGUACAGUUGCAUUUAUCUUCAUAAUCUUUCAUAAAGUGAAGUAAUGAAGCCAUACGUUUUACUGUCAAUUCUCUUCAUACUUGGUGGUCAAACAUUUGAAUUUCUUCUGAGUUGUCCAGAUGUCAUAUGGAGUGAAACAACAGUUUGCAGGAAUACAAGAAGUCCAAGUAAAUCUUUUUUGCUACAAGAAGUCUCCUGUUGGACAUGCUAGUGCCAUUUGCUCUUGGAAUUACGGGGCUGUUUCAUCAAAUACGACAAAGUACCUGC